rnacentral:piRNA from 1 species
UAGUUUCCCGUACACGUGAAUUUCCCCAAC